UGUCCUAAGGACUAGUGCCCAUGGGCCUUCC
rnacentral:piRNA from 1 species